rnacentral:snRNA from 1 species
AUCUAGUUUCUUGUAAUCUAAU